rnacentral:rRNA from 1 species
GAGUUUGAUCAUGGCUCAGAACGAACGCUGGCGGCAGGCUUAACACAUGCAAGUCGAACGCCCCGCAAGGGGAGUGGCAGACGGGUGAGUAACACGUGGGAACGUGCCCUAAGGUUUGGAAUAUUCCCGGGAAACUGGGAGCAAUACCAAAUGUGUCCGCAAGGAGAAAGAUUUAUCGCCUUAGGAUCGGCCCGCGUCGGAUUAGCUAGUUGGUGGGGUAAAAGCCUACCAAGGCGACGAUCCGUAGCUGGUCUGAGAGGACGACCAGCCACACUGGGACUGAGACACGGCCCAGACUCCUACGGGAGGCAGCAGUGGGGAAUCUUGGACAAUGGGCGCAAGCCUGAUCCAGCCAUGCCGCGUGGAUGAUGAAGGCCCUAGGGUUGUAAAAUCCUUUCGUCAGGGACGAUAAUGACGGUACCUGAAGAAGAAGCCCCGGCUAACUUCGUGCCAGCAGCCGCCGCGGU